rnacentral:lncRNA from 1 species
GUUAUGUUAGUUCUAGUUUGGCAGGGGGAAGAUAGCAAAGAAGUUUGAGCCAAAGACUCAGUGAUAUUUGUGAACUUGAUUCGUGUCCUCUAAAAUGUAAAUAGGGGUCUCACUUGUUGCCCAUGCUGGUUUUGAAAUCCUGACCUCAAGCGAUUGUCCUGCCUCAGCCUCCAAAACUACUGGCAUUACAGGCGUGAGCCACUGCACCUGGCUGCCAUGCAGUUUUGAUGCUCACUUAGGAGAAGUAAUCAGUUGGACUACAAAUUUUAGAAAAAUAAAGAGAAAAGAGCUCUCUGGUUAGCAUAUGUCUCUUGCUUACAGACCUGAUUCUUCAGAAGAAGUCAGCAACACCUCAUUUUAUUGCUUCAGAGAUAAUUAAUUCUGAUGGACAAGUGACAUGGUGUGAUAACAAUAUGUAUUAUGUAUUCUUAAAAUUGAAGCUUUUUUCAGUGCUUUUAAUUUGACUUUGGAUUUUCUAAAUGCUACAAAGCUAAACUUGGAGGAGAAUGUAUAAACAUGACUAAUGGGAAUGUGCAAAGGAGAAUGAAAUAACAUUUUAAUUAAAAAGAAAGUGGACUUGAAAUUUGCUAAUAAAAUAGAUUUUAAGUAUUCUUACCACUCAUAUAUACACACGUCAAAAACCACGUGAAAUGAUGUAGAUGUUAUUUAGCAUGAUUUUGGUAAUCAUUUCACAAUGUAUAUGUAUAGUAAAACAUCACACUGUAUACCGUAUACCUUAAAUAUAUACAAUUUUAUUUGUCAGUUGUACCUUAAUAAAGCUGAAAGGAAAGCAAAAGUGAAUUAUAGGCAUAUUCUAGAGCACUAUAGAAAAAUAACAUUUGGCCAUUAUAUUGAAGGCAUAUUUAUAAUCUCUACAAUAAUUAAGAUAUUUUAUUCUUCUUUUCUCUCGUGGACAGUGUAAACCAAUACAAAAAAUAAUUUCAUUUUAAGGUUCUAGAAUUUUAGGUGUUUGAAAUCAAGCAGUUAUUAAUAGAUGCUUAUGUUACAAAUCAACAUUAAACAUGUAUGUAUUGGUUUGAAUUAAUUCAUGUAUUAGAAAGUAGGAAUUUA